AGACCCGAAACCCGGUGAUCUAGCCAUGGGCAGGUUGAAGGUUGGGUAACACUAACUGGAGGACCGAACCGACUAAUGUUGAAAAAUUAGCGGAUGACCUGUGGCUGGGGGUGAAAGGCCAAUCAAACCGGGAGAUAGCUGGUUCUCCCCGAAAGCUAUUUAGGUAGCGCCUCGUGAAUUCAUCUCCGGGGGUAGAGCACUGUUUCGGCUAGGGGGCCAUCCCGGCUUACCAACCCGAUGCAAACUGCGAAUACCGGAGAAUGUUAUCACGGGAGACACACGGCGGGUGCUAACGUCCGUCGUGAAGAGGGAAACAACCCAGACCGCCAGCUAAGGUCCCAAAGUCAUGGUUAAGUGGGAAACGAUGUGGGAAGGCCCAGACAGCCAGGAUGUUGGCUUAGAAGCAGCCAUCAUUUAAAGAAAGCGUAAUAGCUCACUGGUCGAGUCGGCCUGCGCGGAAGAUGUAACGGGGCUAAACCAUGCACCGAAGCUGCGGCAGCGAACGUAUCACUUAAAGCGAUUCAGCGGGUUACGAUUGACGGAGCGAAGCGACGUCAAAGCGUAUACAAAGUCGAGUCGGUUUAAGGAUACGUUCGUUGGGUAGGGGAGCGUUCUGUAAGCCUGUGAAGGUGGCCUGUGAGGGUUGCUGGAGGUAUCAGAAGUGCGAAUGCUGACAUAAGUAACGAUAAAGCGGGUGAAAAGCCCGCUCGCCGGAAGACCAAGGGUUCCUGUCCAACGUUAAUCGGGGCAGGGUGAGUCGACCCCUAAGGCGAGGCCGAAAGGCGUAGUCGAUGGGAAACAGGUUAAUAUUCCUGUACUUGGUGUUACUGCGAAGGGGGGACGGAGAAGGCUAUGUUGGCCGGGCGACGGUUGUCCCGGUUUAAGCGUGUAGGCUGGUUUUCCAGGCAAAUCCGGAAA
rnacentral:rRNA from 1 species